rnacentral:rRNA from 1 species
CGGACGGGUGAGUAACGCGCGGAUAACCUGCCGUAUACUGGGGGAUAACACUUAGAAAUAGGUGCUAAUACCGCAUAAGCGCACAGUCUCGCAUGAGACGGUGUGAAAAACUCCGGUGGUAUACGAUGGAUCCGCGUCUGAUUAGCUUGUUGGCGGGGUAACAGCCCACCAAGGCGACGAUCAGUAGCCGGCCUGAGAGGGUGAACGGCCACAUUGGGACUGAGACACGGCCCAAACUCCUACGGGAGGCAGCAG